rnacentral:lncRNA from 1 species
GGGACUCAUAUUUUUCCCAGACGCGGAGAUCACGCUGACCUGGCAGCGGGAUGGGGAGGAACAGACCCAGGACACAGAGCUUGUGGAGACCAGGCCUGCAGGGGAUGGAACCUUCCAGAAGUGGGCCGCUGUGGUGGUGCCUCCUGGAGAGGAACAGAGAUACACAUGCCAUGUGCAGCACGAGGGGCUGCCCCAGCCCCUCAUCCUGAGAUGGGAGCAGUCUCCCCAGCCCACCAUCCCCAUCGUGGGCAUCGUUGCUGGCCUUGUUGUCCUUGGAGCUGUGGUCACUGGAGCUGUGGUCGCUGCUGUGAUGUGGAGGAAGAAGAGCUCAG